UUUUUUAUGAAACUCUCAGCAAGGAUCCAAAUAGUCUAUCCAAUUUGGAUCAAGAUCUCCCAAACUACGCUCAGCAUAAUGUACCCAUCUUUUCACUCCCCCAAGAAUGGCUUUGGUGUGAAUCAUGGUGUGGUAACGCCACAAAAUCCAAGGCAAAAACUAUUGAUCUUUGCAAUAAUCCAAUGACAAAGGAACCCAAGCUUCAGGGUGCAAAAAGAAUAGUUUCCGAAUGGGUGGAUCUCGACUCCGAGGCAAGACAAUUCACUGCAAAAAUCCUAGGUGAUGAAGUGAGUCCUCAAGAGCCUGCAUCUCCCAAUGCAUCACAGAACUCUGCGACAGACAGCUCGUCAGGGGAAGACGAGGACAGGGCAGAAUUGUGAUUGAUAUACACAUAAUUUCAGCUGGAGUUCAUGAGAACAAUCUUUUUUGGAGGUCAGGUUUUAUCUGAUGCAUCUUCCCCUUAAAAAUUCACCAUAUCAACCAGAAAUGUGUAUGGCAAGAAGAAAUUUUGGCUCCACAUUUUCCUGGAAAUAUAAAACCAAGCUACUUUUCACAAAGAUCGCUGCACUUACAUCUUGCUUUAUCGACACAUUAGGACCUGUAAAACUAACUCAUUUGAAACCUGUAGAACUGAAUAGCUUCCACCAUUCUCUUCUUCCCUUGGUUCUACAAACCCGCUACAGAUUAGACGCC
rnacentral:misc_RNA from 1 species